AAAAUUUAACCUGGCGGCUGACCUAACACAUGCAAGUCGAACGGUAGCACAGAGAGCUUGCUCUCGGGUGACGAGUGGCGGACGGGUGAGUAAUGUCUGGGAAACUGCCUGAUGGAGGGGGAUAACUACUGGAAACGGUAGCUAAUACCGCAUAACGUCGCAAGACCAAAGAGGGGGACCUUCGGGCCUCUUGCCAUCAGAUGUGCCCAGAUGGGAUUAGCUAGUAGGUGGGGUAACGGCUCACCUAGGCGACGAUCCCUAGCUGGUCUGAGAGGAUGACCAGCCACACUGGAACUGAGACACGGUCCAGACUCCUACGGGAGGCAGCAGUGGGGAAUAUUGCACAAUGGGCGCAAGCCUGAUGCAGCCAUGCCGCGUGUAUGAAGAAGGCCUUCGGGUUGUAAAGUACUUUCAGCGGGGAGGAAGGUGUUGUGGUUAAUAACCGCAGCAAUUGACGUUACCCGCAGAAGAAGCACCGGCUAACUCCGUGCCAGCAGCCGCGGUAAUACGGAGGGUGCAAGCGUUAAUCGGAAUUACUGGGCGUAAAGCGCACGCAGGCGGUCUGUCAAGUCGGAUGUGAAAUCCCCGGGCUCAACCUGGGAACUGCAUUCGAAACUGGCAGGCUAGAGUCUUGUAGAGGGGGGUAGAAUUCCAGGUGUAGCGGUGAAAUGCGUAGAGAUCUGGAGGAAUACCGGUGGCGAAGGCGGCCCCCUGGACAAAGACUGACGCUCAGGUGCGAAAGCGUGGGGAGCAAACAGGAUUAGAUACCCUGGUAGUCCACGCCGUAAACGAUGUCGACUUGGAGGUUGUGCCCUUGAGGCGUGGCUUCCGGAGCUAACGCGUUAAGUCGACCGCCUGGGGAGUACGGCCGCAAGGUUAAAACUCAAAUGAAUUGACGGGGGCCCGCACAAGCGGUGGAGCAUGUGGUUUAAUUCGAUGCAACGCGAAGAACCUUACCUACUCUUGACAUCCAGAGAACUUUCCAGAGAUGGUUUGGUGCCUUCGGGAACUCUGAGACAGGUGCUGCAUGGCUGUCGUCAGCUCGUGUUGUGAAAUGUUGGGUUAAGUCCCGCAACGAGCGCAACCCUUAUCCUUUGUUGCCAGCGGUCCGGCCGGGAACUCAAAGGAGACUGCCAGUGAUAAACUGGAGGAAGGUGGGGAUGACGUCAAGUCAUCAUGGCCCUUACGAGUAGGGCUACACACGUGCUACAAUGGCGCAUACAAAGAGAAGCGAACUCGCGAGAGCAAGCGGACCUCAUAAAGUGCGUCGUAGUCCGGAUUGGAGUCUGCAACUCGACUCCAUGAAGUCGGAAUCGCUAGUAAUCGUAGAUCAGAAUGCUACGGUGAAUACGUUCCCGGGCCUUGUACACACCGCCCGUCACACCAUGGGAGUGGGUUGCAAAAGAAGUAGGUAGCUUAACCUUCGGGAGGGCGCAUUAUACACUAUUGAUCAUCCCCGCG
rnacentral:rRNA from 1 species